rnacentral:lncRNA from 10 species
CAUCUUCGACACGGGGACAAAUCCCGGGAUGGAGUCCAGGGUUUCCCGCGGCUUCGGCGCUUCCUGACCUGGCGUGACUGCCGACUUGUCGGCACCACCCAGGCCUCAGGCUCCCUGUCUGUAGUGGUGAAUCGACCUUCCUCAUGGCAGUCCAGGCUUCCCAAGCCCCAUGUCCUGUUGAUCCGGGACAAACUCUUCCUUGAACGUUCUUCACUACGAGCCGCUGCUGAUCUGUACUGCCUGGAGGAGCAUUUCCAUAGCGCCCGCAAAAAUACAAUAAAGCUCACCCAAGGAAAUAACCAUGGAUUCUCACGCCUGGGUGCCAGUGUUUGGAAUCGACUGGGCUUUUUUAUGUUAGUAGGCAAUUUAAAACAAUUACUUAUUUGAAAUCAGAAGCGCAAUAGGCAUAACUUCAGCUCAAGAUCCCAGAGGAAGAGGAGCCAUCUUUCCCAGUGGCUUUACCGGAAAAGUCCCUGAGCCAGUCACUGUGCCCACUGGAAGACAAAUGGAGACUUGCCAAGCUUUGGUCAUGAACUC